UUGUGAUGUGAUGGUAACAUCAGACGUCGAAUUUGUUCGUGAGGGAUGACACGACAUUAGAAUGCAGACAAUGGCAAAAGUGUGGUAUGGUCCAGAGGACGAUUGCUGGAUCCUGAAACAGCAAAUGGCAUCCUGGAUCAUGUGUCUGAAUUUCUGGAUGCUUUGGAAACAUUGCCCCAACAGGAUGUUCUCCAGGCUUAUAGUGCUCCAUUGGAAAGGGGUUCAUCUGGUCGUCCACAAUUAUCUAUCACACGAGCAGUUGCAGUUUCUGCUAAAAUAUAAUUUUUCGACAAAACAAAUGGCAGAAAUCUUGGGAGUCUCCAAACGAACUGUGAAGCGGCGUUUAAGGAGGCGAAUUGGAAUACACGGCGGCAUAGACGGCUACAGCAGACGACUUGUUUUCUUAAAGGCUUCAGACAACAAUCGCAGCAACACAGUUUUCGAGAGCUUUGUGGAUGCUAUUGGCAAACAUGGAAUACCUUCAAGAGUUUGCUGUGAUAAUGGAGGGGAGAACAAUUCAGUCUGUCUAUUUAUAAAUGUGUUCCGAGGCUCAACAAGAGGAAGUGCUAUGAGAGGAAGGAGCACGCACAAUCAAAGGAUUGAAAGAUUGUGGGGUGAUGUUUGGCGGGGCAUCACCAAUACUUAUUCCUUAUUCACGCUUUAGGAGAGUAAGGGUAAAAUUGACACUAACAAUUAAAUGCAUCUCUGGGCAUUACAUUAUGUGUAUAUAUAUAUAUAUACCUAGAAUCAACAGGGAUCUCCAACUGUUCAUUAAUCAAUGGAACCACCACAAGCUGAGGACUGAACGACACAUGUCUCCACACCAGAUCUUUAUUCGAGGGUGUCUGUUACAGCAAACUCAAAACCAGACUGGCAUACGUGGAGUUAUUGGAAUGUUCUCAACAUUCCGCAACAAUCCAUUAAAAUAUUUACCAUGUGUAUUGAAAACAUUCAAAUGAAGUCAAAACAGAACUAUUAAAACAUUGCACAUUUAUGUAAAAUUGCAUGACACUGGAUCACCUUAACCUCUUAAAACCUGGCGUGUCCACAUGUGGACAUCACAUUUUUGUUGUUUGCACCUUAAUACUUAAUUUGUGUAACUGGAACCUGUUUUACACAAAUGUAGACAAUUACACUGCUUCAUGUUCAAAGAAAAACAUUUGGUUCUUAUUUAUUGGUUCUUCCUAACCCCAAAUAGCUAGAAAUUUGAAAUAAAGACAAACCAAAGCUCAGAUCUUGGGUUAAUGAUUACCUUAACUUUGUAAAUUGAGGU